AGCAAAUCUCCAGAAGGCUGGGAGUCACUAACAAUGUCCUUCAGUCAGCAAAGGAUCAGAUUAAAUGGUCGCUGCUAAAAUGAAACAGGAAUCUUACCUUUUUUCUAGCUACCAUUUUUCUGCCCUUCCCAACUUGUCCAACAAAUCCAGAUCCAAACUGUGGCACAUGCAUGCAAGAGAGGGCAGCCUGGAUCACGACCCCUUCUCUACAUCCAACUGCUAGAUGAUACUCCCUGGAUUUCACCCUGGCCUCAAACACCAGCUCGUUCUAAGAAAAGAAAGAACUCGUGAUGAAAGGUGCUAUAUAAAUACAACUUCAGGACGUCCUGAAGUACUUUACAGCCAAUGAAGUUUAUUGUGGAAGCAUAGUUUCUAUUGUAAUACAGGAAAUGAGACUGCGAGUUAACACACAGUCAGAUCCCACAGUGUGAUAAAUGAUGUGAUCAUCUGUUA